rnacentral:rRNA from 1 species
UACGUAGGUGGCAAGCGUUGUCCGGAUUUACUGGGCGUAAAGAGCGCGCAGGCGGUCGAUUUAGUCGGGUGUGAAAGCCCCCGGCUCAACUGGGGAGGGUCACGCGAUACUGAUCGACUCGAAGGCAGGAGAGGGAAGUGGAAUUCCCGGUGUAGUGGUGAAAUGCGUAGAUAUCGGGAGGAACACCAGUGGCGAAGGCGACUUCCUGGCCUGUUCUUGACGCUGAGGCGCGAAAGCGAGGGGAGCAAACGGG